rnacentral:rRNA from 1 species
CAUCUAAGCGCGAAGCCUCCUUCAAGAUGAGGUUUCCCACUACGCAAGUAGGUAAGACCCCAUGAAGACUACAUGGUAGAUAGGCCGGGGGUGUAAGGGCAGCAAUGCCUGCAGCCGACCGGUACUAAUAGGUCGAGGUCUUGACCUA